AUACGGAGGGUGCAAGCGUUACUCGGAAUCACUGGGCGUAAAGCGCGCGCAGGCGGCUAUUUAAGUUGGAUGUGAAAGCCUACGGCUCAACCGUAGAACUGCAUCCAAAACUAUUUAGCUAGAGUGUGGGAGAGGAAGAUGGAAUUAGUUGUGUAGGGGUAAAAUCCGUAGAGAUAACUAGGAAUACCAAAAGCGAAGGCAAUCUUCUGGAACACUACUGACGCUGAGGCCCGAAAGCGUGGGGAGCCAACAGGAUUAGAUACCCUAGUAGUCC
rnacentral:rRNA from 1 species